GAUGAACGCUGGCGGCGUGCCUAAUACAUGCAAGUCGAGCGAACGGACGAGAAGCUUGCUUCUCUGAUGUUAGCGGCGGACGAGUGAGUAACACGUGGAUAACCUACCUAUAAGACUGGGAUAACUUCGGGAAACCGGAGCCAAUACCGGAUAAUAUUUUGAACCGCAUGGUUCAAAAGUGAAAGACGGUCUUGCUGUCACUUAUAGAUGGAUCCGCGCUGCAUUAGCUAGUUGGUAAGGUAACGGCUUACCAAGGCAACGAUGCAUAGCCGACCUGAGAGGGUGAUCGGCCACACUGGAACUGAGACACGGUCCAGACUCCUACGGGAGGCAGCAGUAGGGAAUCUUCCGCAAUGGGCGAAAGCCUGACGGGGCAACGCCGCGUGAGUGAUGAAGGUCUUCGGAUCGUAAAACUCUGUUAUUAGGGAAGAACAUAUGUGUAAGUAACUGUGCACAUCUUGACGGUACCUAAUCAGAAAGCCACGGCUAACUACGUG
rnacentral:rRNA from 1 species